AAAACAUUUUUGUUUGAUGUAUUUAGAUUUACUUGGCACUUGAGUAUAAUUAAUCAAACACUUAUUUUGGCAUUUCAAGAAAUUCAAUGUAUGGGACCUUAAGUAGUCGGAUUUACUUGAAACUUGGUCUUAAUGCUCACUGAUACAAUUAAACAAACGCUUACUUUGUAACUUGCAAAAAUCAAGUAUUAAAUGGGAAAUAGGUUUGCUACGUUUGUAGGUUUUUAAAGGUUUAAAAAUCGAAGUACUUUUUGUGGACGAAAAUUGGCCAAUUUGUUGGUGAAAUAUUGUAAUUUGUUUAUAUCAACAGACAUGAAUAAUUAUUGUCAUAACUUUUUUUUGAUUUUUUAAUAGUGUAAUUAAUAUUUUUUUUUGUCUAUUUCUGCAGAUCGUUCAACAAAUGAGAGAGAAUGUUCAAGUUGAUUGUAUCGAAACAACCAACGUCUACAAUGAUGUCGUUCUAGGAUUAUAUUCUUGAUUUGCUGUUUUCGUCUUUACUUUGCAGCAUCAUGCAGUAAAUUUUCAACAGAUAAGUGAGACCAAGAGGAAAGUUAUUUGAAUUCCACUGAAAGGACAAGCUUUCUGCUAGGGUAUUCUUCCUGGAUUUGGUUUGCUUUUUACACCUGCAAACUUUGGAACAUUGCAGUCUACUGUUCAUUAAGAUUAGCCUGUUAUUGAAAGCAUAUUGAAGUUUCCUUGGAUAUUACUGAGUGCCCCCAAAUGGAUCGUGUCUUCACAUGGAAAAUUUUUCUACAUAUUUAAGAUUACCUUAUAAGCAUGAAGUUAAUUUUUAUUCUACCCUGUGGUGUCAUUUUUCUUGGACUAUGGACAUUGGCCUGCCGUUAACAUCUUCAUUUUGCAACAUUAUGCAAUUAAUCUUGGACGAAUGAUUGAGAGAGGACCUUGAAGUUGAUUUGGAUCCCAAAUUGUCUGCAGUGGCAUCAUUCUUCCUGGAUUUGCAUUACUGUUUGCACUUGUUGACUUUGGCACAUUGUAAUUAAUUAAGGUGAGAAUACAUAACAUAAUUAACAUUUGUUUCUCAUUAUUAAUCUGUUGCCGGUGGAGAAGAUAAAGAAGACCCCGUAGUUAAAAUACUUUUUUAUUUUGCAUGUUUUUUGUAAUUUGAAUUAAUUUUUUUUUGCAUGCUGAUUUUAGUUUAUUUUAUUUGAAUUAAUUUUUGAUUGUAGAUGUUGUUAUUGUUUUUAGUUGUAGUCGUUAUUACUGUACUAACACGUUUUGUAGUCGUAGUCUAACAUGUCUCUUGCUUACCUCUUCGCUUAGCUUACUGCAUAUUCUUCCUAAUUUGCUUUGCAUUUACCC